GACGAACGCUGGCGGCGUGCUUAACACAUGCAAGUGGAGCGACGAAGCGGACUUCGGUCCGUGGCAGAGCCGCGAACGGGUGAGUAACACGUGGAUAACCUACCCCAAUGACCGGGACAACCCGAGGAAACUCGAGCUAAUACCGGAUGUUCUCUCUUCCUCUAAGGGAAUUGAGCAAAGAUAGCUUCGGCCUUCGCAUUGGGACGGGUCCGCGGCCCAUUAGCUUGUUGGUGAGGUAACGGCUUACCAAGGCGACGAUGGGUAGCUGGUCUGAGAGGACGAUCAGCCACACUGGGACUGAGACACGGCCCAGACUCCUACGGGAGGCAGCAGUGGGGAAUCUUGCGCAAUGCGCGAAAGCGUGACGCAGCAACGCCGCGUGGGGGAAGAAGGCCUUCGGGUUGUAAACCCCUUUCAGUUGGGACGAAGCUUCGAGGGUUAAUAGCCUUCUGGAGUGACGGUACCUUCACAAGAAGCCCCGGCUAACUACGUGCCAGCAGCCGCGGUAAAAC
rnacentral:rRNA from 1 species